ACCUGGGUGGCUCAGUCAGUUGAGCAUCUGACUUUGGCUCAGGUCAUGGUCUGCAGUUUGUGAGUUCAAGCCCCACAUCGGGCU
rnacentral:tRNA from 1 species